GGAAAAGCGCAGCUGGUGGCCCGCAUUCUGGCAGAGGUCCCGGAGUCCGUUACACGCAUGGAAGAGUCGCAGUCCCUUCCUGGAUAUAAUCCUUGAAACACAGAGUUCAAGGGUCAUGGCAGAGACCCUCCUCUGUCCUGUUUUGGAAGUUCAUGGAUGAAAGCCUGUAGCGUGCUCUCCGAAGCUCAGCAGCCGGCUGGCGUCUGCACAGGCUGCUCAGAGGAUCAGCACCAUGGCCUUGGCCAUGUCCUCCUAUUCCAUUACCUCAGUUCUGGGAGACUGAUUGAUUUCCCCAGCAGUGAUGACAGUUCCAGGUGUCGACCCCAGUGGUGGAUGAAGGAGAUUACAAUUUCCUUUGCUUCCUUUGCUUCCUGGCCCUUGGAUAUCGUCUCUGGUGAAGAGCCCAUUUUUCUGUUGGCUUGUCUGAUUAUUAGCAGUUCGUGAAAAUAUUUAAAAACGUGUUCCUGGUACACGUCCUUUGUCACAAAUAUGUAUGACAUGUCACUCCUAGUCUGUGGCUGGCCUUUCCACUGUCUUCAUGAUGAUGACAUCUUCACUGAUGACCGAAAGUUCUCGAUUUUAGUCAA